GGAUGAAGCUCAUUGGUAGAACGCACCUGGGUGCAAUCCCCAGAACCAAAACCAAUAAGCGCGUUAGCAUCAGAGUGAACUCAGGUUAGAGAAAAGCGCAUGGUAUAGGCUGUCCCUCAUCUAAGGCAGAAUAUGAAUGUAUUUUUAUCUGCUUGUGUCUUUCUCACUUUAUUUUUUUUCCAGCAGGGCAGCGAUGGGAACCCAGGGCUCUAUGCAUGCUUGGCAAGUGCUCUACCACCGAGCUGCACCCAGUCCCUCCUUGCUUAUAUUUAAAAUGGAAGAAUGAACUUCAAAAUUUAAGAGAAAAAAAAAAAGAAAUAGGAUAAAAGGAACAGGCUUAUGGAGGCUGGAUGUCUUUGAGUUUAUCUUAUUUUUGUCAACAUGACUCUGAAACCAAAACCAAAUUAAAGGAGGAGAAGGAGAGAAAGAGAGAACCAGAGAAACUUGAAAUGAAAAUGAGCCGGCGGUUGUGAUUUGGAGUUGACAGCUCAACCACACAAAUAGGAAUUAUUUUGAAUGACUUUAAAACACAGUAGGUUUUUUUCAGUGCUGAGACUGAACCCAAGGGUGCUCUCCCACUGGGCUACAUCCCCAGCCCUUUUUAUGUUUUGAGACAGGGUCUCACUGAGUACCCAGACUGACCUUGAACUUGUGAUCCUCCUGCCUCAGCCUCCCCAGUUGCUGGAAUAACAGGUGUGUGCCACUGCUCCUGGCUGAAGCACAGUAUAUUGAGCACACUAUCCACAUAUUCCCUGGUAGGAUACACCCCAAGGCAAAAAAAGAAUUGCAGAUCUUUUUUUAAUUUUUAAAAAAUUUGUUCUAGUUUUAAUCGACAAUAGAAUGCAUUUUGACACAGCAUACAUAGAUGGAGUAUAACUUCUCAUUCGUCUGGUUGUGCAUAAGAAUUGCAAAUCUUAAGCUGUUUUUGACAAUCAUAGUGUUAGCUAUAAUUGCUGGCAUUACCAGUCUGAAAUUAUUCUAUGUAUUUUUGCAUAAAGAAAAUAAAAUAAUGUUAAUGUUGUUAGGAACCCAGAUUUUAGUGUUAGAGGAAAGAAGUCCAAGUAUAAAGGCAAUGCAGUUAAAUAAAAUCCUGUGAUCCUAAAUAAGGAAAUUGGCAAUACUGGUCUAACAUAUAAUGUAUCAUCUCUCAGAAAGGAAAGGCACAUCCUCUCUGUGUCCAGGGAGGAGGCCUGGGGCUGGAGGGAGGCUCUGGGUGGAGACUUGCCUACUGUGCAUGAGGCCCUGGGUUCCAGGCUCCAUCUCCAGAACUACAAAGGACCUGGAGAGCACCCCUAACUCCAGCUAAGGUCUCUAGGUGCCGUGUCCCACAAAAGGGUCGAGGGAUUCUGGAGAAACAGCCAAUCCCAAGACAGAGCGGGACACAGGCCAGACAAGCCGCAGGCAUCUGGUGGGACCAGAAAAUAAGGUCAUGGUGAAGGUCUCCAGAGCAGAUCCUAAGAGGCCCUCUGACCAAAGAUGGGGCCGUGAACAAGGGAGGGAGAAGGCAUGACCCUGAAAGCACAUUGAUUGGUUCUGUGUGUUGAUGCUUGAAGGGAGGAAAGCAUGAGAAAACGGGCCAGCUGUGCCUGGCGCUUGGAAGCUUUCAGAAGAGGAGCGAGUGGCCCCUUGCUGUUGUCCUGUAGGGUGCAGAGCCAGCCUGGCCUCAGAGGGACCCCUCCUCGCUCUGUGGCAAAACCACCUCCUGGAGCCUCACCUCCUCAGCGCCUCCUCUGUCCAUUCCAGGGAGGAGACCCCAGCCUCAGCUCCCUUCUCUCUGCCUCAAUUUCCCCAUCUAAGGCCACUGUGAGGCUCAGGGUCUGGUGGGUGCUCCUUUAAUG
rnacentral:lncRNA from 1 species